CAUCCCAGGAGGGCUCUGAUCAUCCCCACCCAUCCCACCAGGGCCAUCCCACCCAUGCCAGGCCCUGGAGGAUGGGGCUGGGUGAAGAUGCUGUUCCGUGGCUGCAGAACAGAGCUGACACCCUGCUCCUCGGGGCUCAGAAAGGAUCUCACAGGAUUCCUGUUACUCUCCCUGAUGUAUCACUGGGCCACGAAAUUCAAAGAAGACAGCAGACAAAGCCAAGUUACACCUACCUCUGAUCUUGGGUUCAUUCAGAAGCAAGUGAUGACUGUCACUCAAUGAACACAAACUCAUGUCUUCAGAACUCCUCCCCUGUGAUCAGGUUUGACCAAGGUGCUCAGCAGCUUCUAGAAUGAGGAUGGACUGGGGGAAAAUAGAACCUUUAUUUUCCUGUACAUGAGGAAAAAAAAUCCCUCCAUUAUCGUAGUUAUAAUGGCAUAAAAGGUGUUUAAAGAGGAGCCUCCUGGGUUUGGACUGGGACAGAAUCUGCUCUGGAGGAGUCAGUGCCCUUGCCAACACUCGUUUAACACGCUCAUGAACUGCUCCUGAAUGUGAAUGUCUGAGUCUCUGCACUCAAUCUUGAUUAACUGGCCCAACCAUGAAUGUUAAUCACCCUGAUUUACAUUGCCUGCAGAGCUAUGGUCAGCUUCAUAUCAGCAACCUCGCAGCUGCCCUGACGUGUUCCAGGGGGAACUUCCAGGGUGCUCCCAGCCCUGCAGAGGAGGAGCAGGGCAGGAGUGCCCCGGCCAAGGGAACUGCUGUGCCUCACACACCUUUCCCUUUUUGGGCUCUCCAAGCUGUAAAGGUGUAGGUAACACACAGGAAAAGAGGGUUUUAGUUACAUUUGGACUCUGAAUACAUAAAAAAGGACUUAAGUUUGACAUUUUUGUGUUCUUCCCAGCAACAAACAGCUGCUCAGAGAUGAGGCAGGAUUUAAGGCAACGUCCUUUCCCUUGGUGGGAGCUAGUAAGUGAGCACAGGGAGAUGUACACAGGCUUUUCCAGGGAUGUAACCAUUCUGCAGCACCAUUCCCGAGCACAGGAAUUUCCAGGGCUGGGCAUGGCCAGCUGCUCUGAGCUCCUGGUGGCAGGAGCUCCACGUGCUGCAGAGGCAGGGUGUCCCAAAAGCUGCUGUUAUCACCAGGAGCUGCUCCUGGAAACUCGCCUGUCAGGGACGCUGCUCGGCUCUCUUGGUGGUAGAAGAUUGUUCCUCUGGACUUUUCUUAAAAAAAUAAAUAAAAUGUCAAGCCUGAAAAGGAAGCCUGCUAUUUUUCAAGUCCAGGAGCUGUAAUCAUGCUAAUCCAUAUGAUCGUGCUAAAGCCAAGCAAAAUGCCUUUUGCAUAUGAUGUAAUCAGCCAGGGCAGCCUAUUUAUAACCACGGCUGGCUGGGAACACCUUCCCAGAAAAAUACAACCAGGACAGCUUUCCCUCGGUCACAUUCUUCCUCUUCCUCCCCGUAUUUUUCACUUUCUUUGUGCUCUUUUGCCUACUUGUGCUGCCUUCCCAGCCUUAAAUACAGCAACUUUUUAAUUUCUAUUUUAACCUAAUGCUUCCCGUGCAUUUUAUUUUAUCCCUGUUUUAGAGCUGUGCUGAGUGAAUUCGCAGUCCUGUGAAAUCAAUACCAAAACUUCUAUUGAUUUCAUAUAAUAUAUUCCUUUAAAUUCAGUACAAAUGCUCCACAGGAGUUGUCUGUUUUAAGUAUGGAUCUACUGUACAGGGCUGUCAGUCUCUCAGCUGGAUACAUAAACCAGCGUGGUUUAAUAAAUUCAUUGGUGUGGCUUGGGAGCUUUCCGUGUAAUAACUGAAAAUCUGUUGCUCAUACUGAGCAUAUCAAGUGUAAAAGGAGAGGAUUCAUCAAUGUGAAUAUCUAUCUGUGGAUCAAUUGGUAUCAAUCUUGUUUAACAGUCUGUUUCCUCAGGACACACUUUGGGAACAAAGAGCAUUUCAAACUGUUGGUUAAACAAACAAAUAUAGAGAAGCUCUUUGGGCAACAUGGGGGUGGAGUAAGCAUCAGAUAAAAAUUGAAAUCAGCGAUUUCAAAUGCCCGUUAAUCUCUCCCAUUUCAUAUUAGUAAAUACAGAGUUUCUCUUGAUGUAAUGUGCCCAUUAAAGUGCAUCAAGAAUGGGGCUUCAAAA